GCACUUCCUGGGACGCUGAGAGGGAGACGCUCCAAGAGGCUCCUCAGUGUGGGCGAGUAAAAUGCCCUGCGUGUGAGAAGCAGGCUCAGAUUAUUGCUACUCUGUAUUCAGAUCUUCAUGUGUCUCUUCUAAGCUGAAUAAAGCUGUUUUGGAACUGUCAGGUACCUCAAAGCGUAAAAUGUGCUGUAAAGAAGAGUUGUCAAUUGUGCACAGAAGAUAAGAAAGCUUCCUUCAGGAUUUUAAUCAUCCUUACAGCCUCUUUGAGAAUGAUUGAACUUCCAAAUUCCCUGAAGUUAAAAUUUUAAAUUCUAUUAAACAUUUUUUCGAGUAUUUCAUUA
rnacentral:lncRNA from 1 species